rnacentral:rRNA from 1 species
GACGAACGCUGGCGGCGUGCCUAAUACAUGCAAGUUGAGCGAUGAAGAUUGGUGCUUGCACCAAUUUGAAGAGCAGCGAACGGGUGAGUAACGCGUGGGGAAUCUGCCUUUGAGCGGGGGACAACAUUUGGAAACGAAUGCUAAUACCGCAUAAUAACUUUAAACAUAAGUUUUAAGAUUGAAAGAUGCAAUUGCAUCACUCAAAGAUGAUCCCGCGUUGUAUUAGCUAGUUGGUGAGGUAAAGGCUCACCAAGGCGAUGAUACAUAGCCGACCUGAGAGGGUGAUCGGCCACAUUGGGACUGAGACACGGCCCAAACUCCUACGGGAGGCAGCAGUAGGGAAUCUUCGGCAAUGGACGAAAGUCUGACCGAGCAACGCCGCGUGAGUGAAGAAGGUUUUCGGAUCGUAAAACUCUGUUGGUAGAGAAGAACGUUGGUGAGAGUGGAAAGCUCAUCAAGUGACGGUAACUACCCAGAAAGGGACGGCUAACUACGUG